rnacentral:rRNA from 1 species
GAUGAACGCUGGCGGCGUGCCUAAUACAUGCAAGUCGAGCGAACAGACGAGGAGCUUGCUCCUCUGACGUUAGCGGCGGACGGGUGAGUAACACGUGGAUAACCUACCUAUAAGACUGGGAUAACUUCGGGAAACCGGAGCUAAUACCGGAUAAUAUGUUGAACCGCAUGGUUCAACAGUGAAAGACGGUCUUGCUGUCACUUAUAGAUGGAUCCGCGCCGCAUUAGCUAGUUGGUAAGGUAACGGCUUACCAAGGCAACGAUGCGUAGCCGACCUGAGAGGGUGAUCGGCCACACUGGAACUGAGACACGGUCCAGACUCCUACGGGAGGCAGCAGUAGGGAAUCUUUCGCAAUGGGCGAAAGCCUGACGGAGCAACGCCGCGUGAGUGAAGAAGGUCUUCGGAUCGUAAAACUCUGUUAUUAGGGAAGAACAGAUGUGUAAGUAACUAUGCACGUCUUGACGGUACCUAAUCAGAAAGCCACGGCUAACUACGUG